CGGAGGAUCCAAGCGUUAUCCGGAAUCAUUGGGUUUAAAGGGUCCGUAGGCGGUUUGAUAAGUCAGUGGUGAAAGCCCAUCGCUCAACGAUGGAACGGCCAUUGAUACUGUCAGACUUGAAUUACUGGGAAGUAACUAGAAUAUGUAGUGUAGCGGUGAAAUGCUUAGAUAUUACAUGGAAUACCAAUUGCGAAGGCAGGUUACUACCAGCGGAUUGACGCUGAUGGACGAAAGCGUGGGGAGCGAACAGGAUUAGAUACCCUGGUAGUCCACGCCGUAAACGAUGGAUACUAGCUGUUCGGAGCAAUCUGAGUGGCUAAGCGAAAGUGAUAAGUAUCCCACCUGGGGAGUACGUUCGCAAGAAUG
rnacentral:rRNA from 1 species